UUAGUCAAAACAAAUCAGUCAGACCGCAGCGUGCGCGAUAAUGAGGCUGUGCGGCAAUUUUUAUUCAGAUUCCCGUUCGUAAAACACGAGACCAGCCACGGGAUUUUGGUAGCAUCAUUUUCUCGCCCUCGUAUGGCUUACAGUGCAAUUCAUCAUGGCGGAAUCGUGGGACGCACUCAACCAUCGAAGCUUGCGGGACAUUGAGAGACAUCACACAUCAGGCUCCAUUGCAUUCCUGGAUCAACAUUUGCUGCACUCCAUGCCUUUGUUUGUUUUACUGGUUAUUUAUUUGAAGACUCAACUGCAGUUUUGAUUCACGUUGGAACAGACAAUCUUGAACAGGGAGUUUGGGAAAAGGACGAGAAGGAUUUUGUUCAGCUUAUUCCUUUCAAUAAAACAAAAAUCUCUGAUACUUCCAAUGUUCCAAGGUGGGAUUCCGGAGCUUCACACAAACAAAGCAUUUAUUAUAUUAAUAGAAAACUGACUGAACUGUCACCUUUAUACAACAAUUUAACAAUAUUUAACUAAUAUAUUUAACUCUAAUAAUACUUUUAUUCUCAGCGACACAUUUUAUGCGUGUGAUGGUCUCAACAUAAAUGUCAAAGUCAGUUUAUGAAUAAAAUAUAAAUAUUAGAAAAUGCAAA